AUUUUUUUUUUUUUUUUUUUUUGAGAGAGAUAGGUAGCAUGCUACCCGCUUCGUUUAUUUCAUUUAGAAAUAAAUUUAGCUAGAAGUGUGAAUCAACUAGGAUUCGAACUUGAGUCUCGGGUACCAACCACCAAGCCCUUUGCCACUUGCUCUAGGGACGGUCGGUGCUUUCUCAAAAAUCUUGUUGAGCAAAUAAGUUUUGUAAGCUUACAUCUUGAGAUAAAGGGGCAAAACUUGGGAAGUUUCACUAUAAGCCGCCUCAUUUGGUAUUGCUGCAGCUCUAUUUUUUUUGAAAAUAUAUAAAAUAGAAAAUACAGAUGAAAUAAAAUAAACUAACCAAAAAAGAAUUGCAUUCGACUCAUUUUCUAGACAAUGUAACUUCAACAUGAGUCCUCUUUCUGAAUCUCUCUCACCUUUUCUUGUCUUCUACAAAUUCAAAAGGCUACUGUCUUUACACGCACCCAUGCACUAGGUGCAUGCAACUGUGGCCUAGGCUAUCUUUAUGUCCACUUGGUACAGACACCUAGAAAGCCACAUCAUCCAUACACUUCAGCAGAGCUACCACAUUGACCAUGCUACACCAACCUAUUAUAUAUGUCUUUCUAAUUUAAAUAGGAUUCAAUUAUAAAUCUAAUCAAAUUGUAAUAAAAUUAUUAUUUAUUACUUAGCUGAGAUGUAUUGCAAGUUAACUAACUGUUAAAAUAAGAAAAAAGUUUAACAACUUGGCAAUAAUGCCAAACAACCCCAAGCCUACAGCAAACCGAUUUUUUCACUUUUAUGCUUGUGUUCAGGUUGUCCAGUCAUUGUCACUUGUUGGAGAUUAGUUAUAACUACUUUGCUGGAAAGAAGAGGAACAUUUUCAAGUUGUUAACUUGUUAUAUAGUAUGAAAUAUAUAGAGUAUUUUAUUUUAGGUAACCUAUAGCAUUAUGUCCAUCUAUACUUUCGCUCUUUAAUCCUCUAUGAUUUUUUUUUUAAAAAAAAAAUUACUGUAAGGAUCAAUCGUUUAAUAGAUUAGCACAAAGUGAAACCACAAGAUGGAAAAAAUAUAGGAUUUUCCCACCCUAUGAUUUGCAUUUUAUCAUCAUAUAGUUUGCGAGACGUGGUACUUUUGCUACCUCUUUAAUCACUUUUUUUUUCUGGUGAAAUAAAACAACCACAUAAUAAUAAAGUACAACUUUUUAAACUACAAUACAGCAAAGUGCAUAUGGGUUAAAUUACGUGGGGCUAAUUGAAGUUUAUCUUUUUAUUUUCGAGCAAUGCUAUGCCUACAACUUAUUUUCAAUUGUAAUAUUACAACCUCACUCAUCCAAUAACCUCCUUUUUCCUACUUGUCUCAGCAACAAAUUUUUUUUUUAACUGAAAUCCAAAAAGUGGUCGGUAAACUUUGCAACCCCUUGGAUAGAGAGGUUGUAGGGAUUGUUGAAAAUUUUUCUCUAAUCUUUUAGUAAAAAUCGUAUUCUUUUAAAAAUAUUUUGAAACACAAAGUUUAAAUAAGUAUUUUAAACGAUCACAGUCCUAGCAAAACAACAAUUACUGUCCAUCCUGUCGGCACGUCUUCAGGGUGGUGAAAUACGAACCCAAUAGGCUUUCAGAUCCAACAAAGUAUCAAGAAGGAAUGAAAAACUUAGUAUGAAAGGAGGUAAAGCUCAAUGCAGAGAAGAAAGGAAGAAGAAGCUCUUUUACAGAUAUCAGGUGAAACCCUUUAGAUUCUCGGUGCAUCCUCUCCUGAGUCCUCUCUUAUAUUUACAGGUAAAGUCCAAUAACUCUAUUUUUAGUAAGCGGUUGGCCCUUAUCGAGGUAAGCCAAGAUCUGGUCCCUUACCAAGAUAAGGUAAGAUCUGGCCGUGGAAACUGAAGCACGGAUUUUCAGACAAGAUCCAUAAAAUGUUGGACUAUUCAGAAAGCUCAUAGGCUAAAAUAAAGUUUAAAUCACUUAAAUUAAUUCUAAUAAGGAUUACAAUCUCCCGGAUGAGAGGUUGUAGGCUGGAGACUUAUUAGCAUUUCUCAUUUAAUACAGUAACUCAUUUCGUGACAGCGAAAAUGAAUAUGGGCAAACUUUUUUUUUUUUGAGAGAAAGGUAGCAUGCUACCCGCUUCGUUUAUUUCAUUUAGAAAUAAAUUUAGCUGUAAAUGAGAAUCAACUAGGAUUCGAACUUGAGUCUCGGGUACCAACCACCAAGCCCUUUGCCACUUGCUCUAGGGACGGUCGGUGAAUAUGGGCAAACUUAAAAAAAAAAAAAAGGCCGGGUGAUUUAAAUCAUUUUGGUAUUAAUGUGAUUUUAUUUGUAUCAUUUUGGUACUCCAUGACUUCUAUCUCAGUUUUGUAAGGACCUUUCAUCAGCCCCAAGAGACUCUGAAUUUGGAUCAUGCUUUGGGUGGCGGUAGGAUCAUCUAAACUUGACGUGAAAUCGCUUAAAAUUUGGUUUGGACUUGGAUCUAAGUUCACUUUGCAAACAGAACCAAGGUCACCCAUAUAAAAAUGAGCUACACCAAUGGACCUUUUCCAAAGUUAAGGCAAAAAAAGUAGAAUCCCCACUUUAGCAAAAUGAGGCAACCACAACACAUGCUGGGAUCUAAAGCAGUUCCAAGAAAGGUAGGAGAAAUAAUGUAUCCACAUGAUCCAUACGUAUCAGCAACAUGAAAAGAAAAGCAAAUUUUAGAAGUAGCAAGUCACAAACAUUUUCUAGAAGCAAAUUUUAUUGUAGUAAUGAACAACAAUGAGCUGUAGAGUUAUUGUUGGGCAACCAGGUGGUGUCCCAGAAAGAGUUGCACUAACAAAACAAUCAGACCUCUAUUACAUUUGCAGUAAAAUCACAAGAAUAAAAAUGAAUGUCCUGACAACAAACUAGCAAACUGCUAGAUGCUACAGCCUUUUUUUGUGUACAAAAUAAGUCUAUACGGCGCGACGCCGGAAAUAUAUCAAACACUCUUCUAUAUAUAUAAAUCCCGCAAUCUGCUUUCACAUCUCAAACGAAAAACAAAAGGCAACCCUAACUCGCUGUAAUAAAAUGUCAAACGCUAAUGCAAAAUCCUAUGAAUUUUGAUUCCCCGAAACCUGAGUUUUUACAAAUCAAACUCUCUUGUUAGAUCUAAAUAGUCUCACCUGAUUGGAUGGCUUCUUUCGACUAUGACAAGCUCUGUAGUGAAAGAAUGUCGUCCCUAUGAAGCAAUUCCUGAGCAAUGGAGGAGCAAACAGAUGAGAUUAGUGACAUUCAAAGUAAUUUCAAGAAAGAGACGAUGAGAAAAUUGGCAGUAAGUAAUAUAUAGAGCAUGAAUAGAAGUUUAGUGUGCAUUAUCUAUCAAGUCAAAUGAAUACAUUCGCCUUAUUACAUCCUCUUUACACUUCCAUUAUAAGGUAAACCUCUACAGAAGUCCAAGUACUUGUAUGAGCCAGAGAAGGAACACUUAUGAUUGAAUUUUAUCACAAAAUAUUUAAAUAAAACAAGAUAAUUAGGCCUUUUUUUUUUCACACAAUUCUAUGUAAAUGGAUAUGCUGGCCGGUGAAGUUCCCAACUUUUCUUUAUGAUUGGCUAGCUUGCAAUGCAUUGUGACAGUUGAGGGAUCACAACUUCAAAAAAAAAAAAGAAAAGAAAAAGAAAUCAUAGCGGCAAAAAGUAAUUACUCUCAAGUUUCCCUUUUUUGUUGCCAACAAACACCUUCCGUGAAAGGAUUGCAAGAAAUCCACCAUCCACUCUACACUCUUUCAUAUAAAUAUUUAAUUUUAAGAAAACAAAUAUGGGGCAACAAUACUAAACAAGGCCUUGAAAUUUGAUGUUUGAGGUUGCUGACAUAGGCUUUGUCUUAUAAUAUGCCCGGUUGGUUCAUGUUGCAUCGAUCCAUUAUGAACUCCUAUCAACAAGUAAUGUAAACCUAGUAUAGUACAAAAUAUGCCUUGUACUUGAGCAUUAUUGCUAUUGAUAAGAUAUUACAGGCCCAUGUUUUUUCCGUCUUUACAAAAAUACUAAUGGAUAACUUUCAGUGUCAUUUGGACAUAACGGAUUUUAUUUGUAUGGUAUACAAUGUACAUACAUUCUGUAAAUCACUUUCCUCAGAAUAUGAUAACCUCAUAGGCAAAAUCAACAAUCCGUAGAGGCGCGAAUAUAAGGAUUCUGCAUAGCUAAAAAUUUAACUCCUAGGUUGCAAUCAGAAAAAGGAAAAAAAAAAAAAUCCUCAUAAAGCACAAGCUUUCUCAAGAUACUUGUUCAUAUAACCACAUAGAAUCUUAGAAAAAAAAAUAAAUUUUAUGCUAGAGGUUUAAGUGUGCAAGACUUAGUCAUUGAACAAGGAACCGAAUCAAUUAGCACGUACUUAUAUACUGUAGUAAGUUGAUUAUUUUCCAUUUAUGUACUAAAUUCAAUCCACUUAAUGCUUGUGCUAUUAGAGAUAUAAAAGAUAUGCGUUGUAACAUUUGAUAGUGCAUACAAGGACAUCAUCAUCUCCUGGUAUCAAGCUUACAGACAACAGAACAGUAAAACACCUUUAAUUUACUAGUAGAAUAAUGAAGCUAACAUGUGACAAAUGACAUCUUAGGCACAUUCGUACAUGCUAACGUGUGUGCCAGUGCUUAUCAUAUUCCAAUUGGCGUUCCAUAGUCCAUGCCAUAUAUCCAGUAUAGGUAUUUGUCAUGGUACAUGAUUACAAGCUGCCAGUGACGACAAGAGUGACAUGAAAGAAAUGAUUCUUUUAUAUCAUGCGACGUCUACCAUGUAUGUAGAUGACGACAAGAGUGACAUGAAAGAAAUGAUUCUUUUAUAUCAUGCGACGUCUACCAUGUAUGUAGUUUAUGAACAUGAUAAUAGGAAGAAAUCUACAAAAAGUUUUUUUAUGUUGGGUGACAUCUCUCAUCUUGUUAGUGCAGCUCGCUGGUUGGAAGACUUCAGAGAACACUCAGAUGCCAUUUCACUUGAACGCAUAACUUAGAUGUACUUCGUUUAGUGCAAUCAUCGUAUGCGUAAGUCUCUUAAGUUACUAAUUAUAUUAUCAUGCAACUCAAUUUCCACUGCAAACUUUUUCUUUAAAUGCAAAUAAUAAGCUUAUUAAAAUAUCUUGUGAAUUAAGCCAUUCAAUUUUCACCUCAUAUAACACUACAAAUCAUAAGCUGGUUCUGUUCAGAUCUUUUCCUGAUAAUGUGUGCAUCUUCAAGACGCAAUGUCUGACAAAUAGUUUAGCAUGUAAUUUAUUCUAAUCCUUUGCAAUCUUGCUAUAAUGGGCCAAGUGAAAUCAAGAACUCACUUUAAUAGAUGUGUCUCUAUUGUCAAUAUAGCAAGUAUGGAACUUAUUUUCACAUUAAUUCAUACCAUAAAAAUGAAAAACAUUCAACACACAGCGAGCCAUUUUUCCAACGCCAUUUCAGACAACCGAAGCAACUUAUGAGGCAAAAUUUUGAGCCAGUAAAUAAAAAAUAAUAAUCUGUUGGAUGUGUAGUGAUGACCACGUGAAGAAGUGACUUCAAUAAAAAAAACAAAAUGAGAGAGGCCCUGUGAUACUAUCGUUGCAUGCAGAGAUACAAAUGCCCUAAUUCAUAAAAGCAAGACAAACUUAAAAGGUGACAUACAAAGAGGUAGAAGGCCAAAAAUGACAGGGUUGGGGUAAAUAGAAAACAUUCAGUCAAAAUUAUUUAGGUAAAUGCAGUAAAAUAAUAGAAUUGGGUAGCAAAAAGGAUUUGAAUGACCAACAACACUUAAAGCAAGAUAAAGUUGCGGCUCGUAGAGCUAGAGCUAUAGUAUAUAAACACAAUAACAUGUGAAGCAAAGACUAUUUUGUUUGGAUCCGAAAUGAAUAGUUGGAUGUCAAAGAUUCGACCCAUCCAAACCCAAGAAUGCCCAUAGUCCCAAGCACUGUGCUAUUUAUUUGUUAUCAUUCAACCAAAUUAAAACCUAUAGUAAGUGUUUCAUAACUGUUCAGUUGGAAAAACACAGAUUGGUUCAUUUAGUGUAAGAAUGUAUGUUGUUUAGCAAUAUUGGAUCCACCUAAUGAGUGCGAUUUUCCUGAACGGUUUGUUACUUCCGUCAUUUCAUCUACCUUAAUGCUUUAGCCAGCUAGAAUACCAUGCACUAACAUGCUCAAAGCAAAAACAAAAAUAUGCUCACUAAAAGGAAAUAGGAUGAAGCGCAAGGAACCUCGUACCUCUAUAUGUUUGCUUAUUUAGUAUCACUAUAGCAGAUUAUCGAAGAUGCCGGAUCCUCAUUGUGUCAUCUGAAGCUCCAUUCCCAAGCUGAUAACCAAAUGGGCCAGACCCAUCGAGCUCAGAAGAUGCAGGCUUCCAUGUUAUAUCUUCGUACAUUGGGUUACUAUUGUAUGAAUCUGCACCGUUGCCUCCAUAACUAUUGCCUAAUACGGCAAAAGAAGUGUUAACAGCGCCACUCCCACUAUUAAUUCCAUAAUUGGUUGCACCAAGACCAGACCUACUCUCUCCAAAUCCACCCAAAUUUCCCCAAUUCGCACUAUUAUUACCAAACCCACCUAUGUUCCCACCUCCAGAUGGCGUAAAGCUAUUGGAGCUUGCUGAGUUAGCACUAUAAUUAAGUCCGCCAUCGCCCCAUAUAUUACGAUCAACUGAACUGAGCAUUGACCCGGUAAUAUCACUACCCCCACCAUAGCCACUGCUACUAUCGUAUCUACUUGAACUCGCACUAUAAUAAGGGCUCAAUUGCUGCCCAUAAUUUAGGCUAUUAUUGAAGUUUCUGCUUCUAUCAAAACUUGGAUUUAUCCCUGGCUCAAUAUUCAUUCCAAUUCCGUAUCCAGAACCAAACAAAGAGUAACCAUUACCACGCGCACCAGCUAGCAGCCCAAGUCUUCCAUCCAUCCUCAUUCCAUAACCGCUUAUAGAGCUUGGGCUGAGCCCUUGAUUGUAUCCAGUAAGAAAGCUAUUUCCCCUACUCAAACCAUAGUUAUAAUUAUACCCUGCAUUAGGAGAACGCGUGUUGAUCCCAGGGGAUAAUUCUUUCGGCACAGCCCUCUUCACCUCAACCAUCUUACCGUUCAGCUCGUGGAAGGUUUUGAGCAAUGCCCGAUCCACAGCAUCCUCCGAGUCAAAUGUGAUGAAGCCAAAGCCCCUCGGCCUCUGUGUGUUGUGAUCGUACAUCACGACGACAUCGACGAUGGUCCCGAACUGAUCAAAGUACUUCUUGAAGUCGGCCUCCGUCACCGUCGACGGGAGGCCUCCCACAAAUAUCUUUCUGAUGCGGCCCGGGCUGGGAGAAGAACCGUGGGCACUGCCAUUGCUCUUGUUAAUGGCCUGAUUAUCAUCACGAGGAAUAGCUUUUUUGGCCUCCACCUGAGAAAUUCACCAACCAAUGAUUUGAAUUCAGUUGGAUGGUCAUUCAAUCAUAUUAACACAAUCUUUUAGCUAUGGCAAUGCCUAGAUGAUCAAAGUGAAACAUAUAUAUUCAAAGCCAAUCGGAUGGGCAAAUUACCAUGCGGCCAUCGAUCAUAUGCUUCUCCAUGACGACUCUCUCUGCGACGGACGGAUCAGCAAACACGAUGAAACCGAAACCGCGAGCGCGACCGGUGGUUCGGUCCCGCAUGAUGACGGCUUCCACCACCUCGCCGAAGCUCUGGAAGUACUCGCGAAGCCGGUCCUCAUUCGUCUCCCACGAGAUGCCCCCGAUAAAUAGCUUGCCAUGAUCGGUCUCCAUUCUCCUCCCCCUGCAGUUCCACAAUUGAAUUCACAAUAACUACAUAAUUUAACAACAACAGAACCCGAAUGGUAACACAUAAUACAACCCAAAUUCAAUUAAAACACCUGCUAUAAAUCAGAUCCGAUCUAGAACAAUAACACUGAAGCAAAAUAACGAAGACCCAUGAAUCAAAAUCCAAAUUUUUUUUAGCAUCCAAUGCAUCAGCUUCGGGAGAUACAAAGCACCACCCGAUCAACACCAGAUCCAAUCGUAUAACAGAAGCCAGCUGAAUCCAAUACAGAUCGCUCAAAAACCAAAGAAAAAUCCCAAAAAUCAAUCCAAAAUCCAACAAAAGCGAAAUGGGAUCCACGAACACCAAUCAACGAAGCACCGCUCCUUCCCAAAUCAAUAAAAAUCAAAACCCAACAACCCAGAACCACAAAUAACAUCAAAAAAGAACACAAUUCACGCACAGCCUCACUAUUUUAGGAUGUAAUUGGAAAAAUUGAUUACCGAAUCGGUCUGAGGCGAUUCCCGUUGCGAGAUUGGGUGAGGAUUAAAUAGCCCUUACAAUAUGAAAAUCGGUAACGAACGAAGAGAGGGACUCAUCACCUCCUCUCUUUCUCUAUCUCUUUUUCUCUUUUCUUUUCCAAUCUCUCCUAUUACCUUUUUUUUUUUUCUCUCUCUUUCCUUAGAACCAAAAAGAUAUAUAAAGAGGUGAGCUGGUGGAGGAGGAGAUGUUACAUUUCAAAAUGUCUAUAAAUUAAAUUAAUGUUGUAAAAAAAAAAAAAAGGACAAUUUGCAUAAAAAUAUUCAUAAAUUUUGAGUUUUUAUAAAAUUAUCUUUUUCGAUUUUACAGGUUUGGACCGAAUUUUUAACGAACUAAUUAAAAUACCCUUAUUUCUUUCUCUCUUUUUUUUUUUUUCCUUCGUUCUUUUUUUCCUCAUCGCCUAAAAAUGUCGGAUCGUUGGCGCUAAUCAUUAAUCUCAAAAGCUCAGUUGUUAUAAAUACAUAAUUAAUUCACUUAAAGCGUAUAGAUAUAGUCUCGAUUGUGACUCGGACCAUCCUGCCUCACGCCACUUCCAAUAUGACUCAGCCCAACAUAGCCUCUCGUCACAAGGCAGGAUGCUGGCCCAUUUAAGCCAACAAUCCCCCCUCCAGCAACUGGAUAUAUUUGCAGCCAUUUAAGCCAACAAUCCCCCCUCCAGCAGUUGGAUAUAUUUGCAGCAUGCGAGAAUCGAACUCGUGAUCUCUGGCUCUAAUACCACUUGUCGGAUCAUUGGCGCUAACCGUUAAUCCUAAAAGCUCUAGCUAUUAGAAAUAUGCAACCAAUUCACUUGAAGCGUAUAGAUAUAGCACCCACGAGUCUCGAUUGUGACUCGGCUCACCCAGCUUCACACAACUUCGAAUAUGACUCGGCCUACCUAGCUUCAUGCCAUUUCGAACAUAACUCGGCCCAACAUAGCCUCCCAUCACAAGACAGGAUGCUGACCCAUUUAAGCCAACAAAAAAAACGUGCCAAUUUCCAAGAAGCGAACAAAUAUGCAGAGGGUUGAAAAAAAACAAGAAUAAAAAAUAAAAAAAAUUCUCUUUAAAAGAUCAUUAUAUAUCGUUGCUGUUAUCGAAAAGUUUAAAAAUCAGAGGAAAAGAAAGAAGAAGAUAAAUGUUGUACUAUUAAUAGGGGUGUCAACGAGCCGAACACGAGCAAGCUGGGGCUUGCUCAUGUUCAACACAAAAUGGCUCCUUAAAGUAUCGAGUCGAAAAAUUUGGCUUAUGAAUAAGAAUUUAAAAAGAUGAGAAAAAUUGUAUGUAGGAAAUAAAUUUAUAAAAUCUUACCCAUUAUACUUUAAUCUCAUGAUUGAAAUUUUACAUAUAAAUGAAUCAUUUUAUAAUUGAGUUUGGCUUUAUAUUUAGGUUGGGCUAAAAAUCAAAUAAUAAAAUUUAUAUUAUAUACAUAUAUAUAUAUAUAUAUAUAAUUAUUAAUAUGNUAAGUAUAAAAAAUAAUUUUAUGAAAUUUUACCUAUUUGACUUUGAUCUAAUGGUUGAAACUUUAUAUAUAAAUGAUCUUUUUAUAAUUAAAUUAGGCUUUAUAUUUAGACUAAACUAAUAUAUAUAUAUAUAUAUAUAUAUAUAUAUAUGUAUUCGAGCUGUUAUCGAGCCGCACACGAGCGAGCUAACCCCAGCUUGUGUUCGGCUCGUUUAUUAAACGAGCUGAAAAUUUCAGUUCGUGCUCGGCUCAUUUACUAAACAAGCGAUUCGAUCUCGAGCUCAUUUCAAGCCGAACACGAGCUGGCUCACGAACAGCGAGCUGGAUUGCCACCCCUAACUGUUAAAAUAAAAUUACACUAUUUUACAAAAAAAAUAAACUAUUUAGUAUGAGCGUUGCAUUCUUUAAGAUGAAAAUUAUAUUUUUUGAAAUAAAAGUUGCACUCUUUUGACAAAAAUUACACUGAUUCAGAAAAAUUGCACUAUUAUCCGACCUUCAUCGCCUUAUCUUCUUUUUCUUCUUCUUUCUCUUCCCUUGACCUCCUCUUACCCCUCCUUUUCGGAUCUUUAUCCUCAUCAAUGCGAGCCUCUCUAUCCUCUGAGCCACAUCAGAGCCUCGAAACAUGGAAACGACUUCAUCGCCUUUGUCCGCUCCGCCCUCACUCGGGCCUCUUUCGAAUUCUCCUUCUCCUUCUUCUUCUCCGGCGGGGGUGGAGGCGAAGGCGAAGGAAGAGGAGUCGGCGCUCUCCUCAUUACUGUCGCUGAGGGCCAAUGGCACUAACGGUGGAAGAGAUGGAGGAAGAGGAGGUGGUGCCGCUCUUGUUACCGUCGCCGAGGGCUGUGGAAGCGAUGGAGGAGGCGAUAAGGGUUGGAGAGAAAAAAAGAACGAAGUAAAAAAAAAAGGAAGAGAGAGGUAGGUCGUGUUCUCACCGGUGACCAGCUCCUCGACAACGACCUUAUCACUUUCGUCCGCUCCGCCCUCACCGGGGCCCACUUCGAGUUCUCCUUCUCAUUCUCCGAUGCCGGCAGAGGCGGAAAUGAAGGCGGAGGCGGGGGAGGGGUGCCGCCCUUGUUACCAUCGUCGAGGGCUGUCGGCAUCGGCAAAGAAGGAGAUGGAGGAAGAGGAUGUGGCGCUGCCCUCGUUAUCGUCGCCGAGGCCGUGGAGGUAGUGGGGGAGGCGAUGAGGGUCGAAGAGAAAAAAAAAAAAAAAGAACAAAGGAAAAAAAAGAAGAGAGGGAAAGGAAUAAAGAUAUUUUGGUCAAUUUGUUAAAAAUCCGGUUCGAAUCUGCAAAAUCGAAAAAGACGGCUCAAUUUUGCAAAAGCUCAUAACUUGUGAAUUUUUUAUGCAAUCUGGCAAAAAAAAAAGAUUUUUCUAUUUUGAUGUCGGAAUAAGUUAUACAAUAAUAAUUUAUUCUCUAUGAGAUUGUUUUUUUUUUUUAAUUAGAAGUAAAAAGUUUGAUUUUUUUUUAUUUGAAAAGAUUUUGACAAGCAUGAUAUAAAUAUAUUUUACCUAAACAACGAUUUAGGUUAUGUUUCGAUAUCAAAAUAAAUUACACAAUUUUUUAAUAAAUUAUCAGUAUAAAUAUUUUUUGUGUGAUUGAAAAUUAUGAGUUUGAAUUUUUUGCUUUUUCGGAAGACUUUGAUGCUUGGCAUUCAUAUCACAUUUUACUUAUGAGAUGAAUUAUUUCAUUCUGAAAAAAUAAUUUGAAGUUUGAAUGAGAUAUCUAUUCUUGGCAUUUAAUUGCAUUUUUUUUGUCUACAAAAUACUAUGUACUUCUUAAAUAACUCAAAAAGAUAUGCGGAACAAGAUGUCUAUGCAUCCAAGCAUAGCCUUAUCUUAUUCGAAAAAAAAUAACUCUAAAGCCAAAUGUGGUAUAAUGUUUAAACAAUUUGAUCACAAUCCUCAUUUACUAAAUUUGUAUGAUUGUUGAGUAAAUUAAAAAAAAUGUCAAAUAAGAUGUUCAUACAUCCAAAUAGGACCUAAAUUAUAGAAUUCUCCUUUGCACUUCGCUGUCUCAAUUUACAAUCAAAUUCUGAUGCACCAAAUCAUUCCAGUGAAUUUUGCAUUAGAAUUUGAUGUUCAUACCAACUUUUGGCUAUUUGAAAUAAUGUAAAGUACAAGGUUCAAAUUGAAGCAAAAUUUUAUGCAAUGAGUAAUUAAGACAUAUGGAAAGUGCAAAGGAGAAUUUUGUUAUUUAGGCUAUUUUUAGAUAAAAUGUAUAAUUAAACUAUGACAUAUUUUGAUUUGACUAUCAGAUCUUUAAAAUUUUGAAUUCCUUACUUGAUCUUUCAAUUAAUUUGAUUUAAGUCAUUUGAUUGUUUUUAAUUACAAGAUUUGAAUGUGUAAUUUACUGUAAUAAGAGCAUGGUUAAUUAUGUGAAUCAUAUAAAAUAUUCUAAUUAAGUCAAUUAAAAUAGUUGUACACUCAAAUUUUGAAGUGUAAGAGUUAUCAAUUGCUCGAUUUGAAGGUUAGUUAUCAAAAUUAUUCGAAGAUUGAAUAAUCGAGUCAAAAGAUCUUAUUUGAUAUUAGGUAAAAACGUACAGAACUUAUCUGAAUUAUUAAUUAUAGACUAUUUUAAAUUUACUAUCCUACCUUUCAAAAAAUUAAUUUUACUAUCCAACCUUUCAUUUGUUUGAUUUGAGUUUGUCGACGACACUUUGACUUCAACAUUUUAGCUAAUUUUUUUACUUUAAUAAAUUUUUAGUUGCGAAAAUUGCAUAAAAUAUGCUAACUAAUUCAAUAAAAAUAAACGACAAAUUUAAAUUUUAAAGUCAAAAUACCGUUGACUAACUCAAAUCAAAUAGAUUUAAAGGUUUUUUUUUGAGAGAUAGGUAGCACGCUACCCGCUUCGUUUAUUUCAUUUAGAAAUAAACUUAGCUAGAAAUGUGAAUCAACUAGGAUUCGAACUUGGGUCUCGGAUAUCAACCAUCAAGCCCUUUGCCACUUACUCUAGGGACGAUUGGUAAAUAGAUUUAAGGGUGCGUUUGGUUCGCAUAAUGAAAGAUUACUAGGAAUAAAAGAUAUCCGAGAAUCUUAUUUCUAUUAAUCCUAUUACUAAGAAUGUGGAAUUCCUGUGUUUGGUUCGCACGGUAAUAUUAAUUAGCCAUAUUAUUUAAUAUUACAAAAAAUAUACAAUUAAUUAAUUAAUUAAUUUAAUUAAUUUUAGAUAAUGUUACCAAAAGUUUCAACAUCUUUUUAGAAAAAAGGGAGAGAGAGUAUAAGUUAGAGAGAGAGAGCAUAAUUAAAAAAAUAGAAAGAAAAAUAUAGUCGAAAUUAGAAGGAGUGAGAGAGUUGAAAUUUUAGAAAGAGAGAAAGAGAGAGAAAAAGUUGAAUUUUGGAGAGAAAAAUAAGUUUAGAGAGAGAUAUAAGGUUAGAGUGUAAAGAAAAAUAAUAUCAAUUAGCCGGCGGGUAGAAAGAAAGAAAGAGAUUAGACAUAUUAUGAUUACCCCAAUCCAUUAAUAUGAGGAUACUCUCCCUCCCUCAAGAGAAUGAGAUUAGUACUUUGGGGUGAAUCUUAUUCCCAAGUGAAUCCAAUAUUACCAACUAGAUUACUUAGCGCGUUUAGCCAAACACCGUCAUAUUUUUUUAUUCCCAUUGAAUUACUAGAAAUCUUUAAAGGAUAGCGCGAACCAAACACACCCUAAAGGUUAGUAGUGGAUUCCAAGUGGUUCACAAUUUAGACAAGUUCUAUAUGUGUUUCUUUAUUGAUUUUAUUAUCUUUCUUAGCUUUUUAAUAUAAGUUUUAUGUAUAUGUAAUAAUAUGUGUGAGCACCUUUUUGUCAUACAUCCAAAAUAUUUAUUUAGCAGCAACUAAUAUAUAUAUAUAUAUAUAUAUAUAGAGAGAGAGAGAGAGAGAGAGAGAGAACUCGGCUGGUACACUAUCGGUAGCACGGAACCAAGUUGUUUUCAAUGAUGCAGUUUUCAAAUCAAUGAUCAGCUCGAUUAGAUUUGAUCUAUACUAUUAAAACUAUUUGAAAACUAAAUUUUAUAAUUUUUCGAUAUUAUUUGGUUAGUAAGCAAAAUUCUCAAAAAUGACAAUUUUAAUAACUGAUGUGAUGCGUUUGUGAAUUUAACGGUAUAAAACAAUUCAAAUUUGAAAAUUUUUUUAUAAAUUUCUUUUUUAUUAUUUAAAGUAAGAUUAGUAUCUCUAAUUUUAAAUUCAACUCCUUCAUAUAUAUAUAUAUAUAUAUAUAUAUAUAUAUAUNCAAAAAUCAAAUUAUUAUCUCCACAACGUUUCGGAAAACCGUUUCGCCACACAUGUUCUUGGGCGGCUAAAUUUAUAAAAACUUUUAAUUCUACAAAUAGCCACCCCGCAUUACUUUACUAUUUUUUAUUUAUAAAAUUAAGUCUGCACAUAAAUCUAAUUUUAUAAAAUACUUUUUAAAAUUUUGUUUUUUAUAUAUAUAUAUAUAUAUAUAUAUAUAUAUAUAUAUAUAUAUAUAUAUAUAUAUAUAUAUAUAUAUAUAUUAUUCUAUAAACUAAUACAAAAAUAAUGUUGAAGUCAUAAAAGGUUGGAAUUAAGGUACACACAAUAAUGUGCUGGAUCCAAACUGCGACAAUGUAUAUAUUGUUUUGCCUUUAUGAUUGGCUUUCUAUGUAGUUGGUAGUAGUGCUCAUCACACAUGUAUAGGAUGCCUAAGGAGAAAUUAUUUGCUACACAAUGCACAUGGUGUGCCACAUCAGCUAUGGAUUGCUUUUUUUUUUUUUUAAUGUUAUUUAUUUCGUCUCAUAUGUCAAUACAUAUGAUAUCAGCCGCUAAUAUAUAGAGUAUAUUGAGUCCGGCUGGAGUGCUUCUACUAACACUAGCAAUUGGUGUUAUCAAACUUUUCACUGUUAUAUUUAUCUUUUUAAUCAUUUCUAUCUGUUAGAUUAUACUAUUCAAUCAACCACCCAUUCUAGGGUUCAAUCAAUCGCUCAUUCAACCCUAGAAGAUCACCAUCAUCCUAACCGUAUAUAUCUUCAUCCAAGAGUCCAAAAUCUUAUAUCACGAAUGACUUAGUGCUGUUAGAAGCAUUCCAGUAUAAUUCAUAGUAUAUAAAUUAUAAACAAUAUUGAUUGAUCAACUAGAUUGAAUUGAUUCACCUUUGUUAAAAUAGAAUGAUCUUAUGUUUCUUUAUUUAUAGUUAAAAAUUUAUGUCUGAACUAUUUUGAUUGAAAUACAGCAGAAUAAUUUGUUUUCUUAUAAACUACACGAGAAAUUCAAAUUGAUUUGUUAAAUCUAAAUGGCUUCAUGAUGACCAUAAAUUCAGUCAUUUUAGUAUAUAAAAAAACCUUCCUUAUAAUUUUAGGCCUAUUUCGUCCAAAUUACUCACUUGCAUUUCAUUUAUUCUUUUGAUUUUCACUAUGUGACUAAUAGUAUUAAUCUAAUUUGAAUCGCUUAAACAUGCUACAACAUUUUUAUAACCAAAUUUGCAAUUUCUUAUACCAUUUUUGGUGGAAAUCAAUUAGGAAAAUGAUCUAGCUUGUAUGUCAAUUACAUGAAUGGGGUCAACAAAAGAAAUUAAAACAUUUUUUUAGGAGGUAAAAAAAAUUCAUAUUUUUAACAAGAACGAAAACAACAUAUGAUAGAAACCUUAUCAAAUUCAUAUUUUGACCAUUUCAAUUACUCCUGUCUAUUAAAAUUUGAUUUACACAUGGAGAAGAGUGUAAACAGAUAUAUUUUCUUAUUUAUUUGUUGUGAUGUAUAGUAUUAUUUGAAAAUUUGUAAAUUAUUUUAGUUUUUUAAUCUGUUUCGACCAUCUUCUAUUUAUUUAUAAUAAUUUUGUUUAUGUUACUUAGCUUUUAUAGAUUUUAAUUAUUGCUUUUUGGUUUUUUUUGAAUAAGAAACCCUACCAAUUUUGCGUUUUUACAAAAAUAGGAUGCUUUUUUUAUUUCACAGAUCAAGUCUAAUUUUUUAGUAAACUGAUCAAAUUACUUUUAUUCUUUUUUUCCCUCUCCUUUCUCUCUCUCGUUCGUCUCUCACCUCUAGGUACCUUUCGUCUCCCUCCUCAUUCUCCUCCACCGUCCCUAUGUCACCGUGUACCCUAAGCUAAAGAAUCUCUUUACCAUCUCUGUCGCCUCAUCUACCCUCUUCGCUUCCAUCGUCCCUGCCACCUUACAUGGUGGUGGGCGGAGAUCUCCCCGUCAUCUUCCAUCGUCAUGAUCACAUCACCUUCUCUUUCACCUUAGUGACCUUACCCUCAUCACACAGUUACAGAACCCUCCAGCGUGGUUGAAUAGUAUGAUAUAAUGGCUGGAAAUGGUCAAUAGGUUAGAUCUAAUAAUAGAAAACUUAGUAGCAUUAAGCGCUUAGUGCUAUUAAUAACAUAGUAGCCAGACUUCUCUCUCCCUCUCUCUCUAUAUAUAUAUAAUUAGGCUAGAAUACUAUUAAUAGCAGCAAGUUAUUGUGCUAUUAGAUUUUCAGCCAUUGAAUGAAGGAAUUUGUGAUUAGGAUGAAAAUGGUCCCCUAGAGUUGAGUUGAUUGUUAGUUGAAUAGUAUGAUCUAAUAGGUGAAAAUGAUCAAAGGGAUAGAUCUAACGGCGGAAAACUUGAUAGCAUUAGGUGUUUGAUGCUAUUGAUAGCACAGUAGCUAGACUUUCUCUCUCUCUCUCUCUCUCUAUAUAUAUAUAUAUAGAGAGAGAGAGAGAGAGAGAGAGAGAGAAUUCAGAUAAGAUGCUAUUAAUAGUACGUACCAUUCAGUUUUUUACACUUGCAUCAUUACUAUUGCACCAAGCCACCAACUACCCACUCAAUCUUGGAUAUCUAAUAAAUAGUAUCAUAUUAUUAAUAGUAUUCCGACAUAACUAUAAUUAUAUAUGUAAUUAUUUAUUAUGUGUAGACAGAUGUCAUUUUGUUUUGUUUUUUCUAAUUUGUUUCAACUAUCUAUCAUAAUUAUAUUUGAGCUUUUAAUUAGUAAUUUUACUUCAAAAAUUUUUAAUUAUUAAUCCUGAUGCAAUAAUACAUGUUAUAGUUGUUGGCUUAAAAGGACUAGCAAAGUACCUUGCGGCGAAGGUCGGGGAGGGCAGAGCCUACGGGCUCUAUAGUGGAGGCCGGAGCAGGCUAAGUCACAAUUAGGGGUGUCAACGAGCCGAACACGAGCGAGCUGAGACGGGCUCGUGUUNNNNNNNNNNNNNNNNNNUUCGGCUCGUUUAAUAAACGAGCCGAACACGAGCUGACUCGUUAAAGUAUUGAGCUGAAAAAUUCGGCUCGUGUUCAGCUCGUUAAUAAACGAGCCGAACACAAGCUGGCCAACGAACAAUAAAUUAAAAGAAUUAGAUUGGAUAUAUAUAAAAAUUAAAUUUAUAAAGUCUUACCCAUUAGACUUUGAGCAAAUAGUUGAAACUUUACAUAUAAAUGAGUUUUUUUAUAAUUGAACUCGACUUUAUAUUUUAAUUUGAUAGAAACGAAAUAAUAAAAAUAUAUAUUAUAUAUAUAAUUAGAGUUGAGCUAGUAUACUUUCAAAAGAACCAAAGAGGUGGUGCUUUUGGGUUUUUAGCCCUUGGAUGAAGAAAUGUAGGGUUAGGAUGAUGGUGGUAGGUUGUGGUAGUUGAUGGUAGGUGGAAUAGUGUUUGAUCCAAAGGUUAUUAAUAAUCAAGAAUUAGAUCUGAGGGUUAAAAACUUAGAAGCACCAAGAAGAUGGUGCUUCUAAAAGUAUUCUAGCUCAACUCUAUAUAAUUAUUUAUUUAUAUAUAUAAAUAUAAAUUAAAUAAAUUAUAUAAAUAUAAAAUAUAUGUAUUCGAGCUGUUAUCGAACCGAGCGAGCUGACCCCAGCUCGUAUUCGGCUCGUUUAUUUAACGAUAUGAAAAAUUUAGCUCGUGUUCGGCUCAUUUACUAAACGAGCGAUUCGAUAUCGAGCUCAUUUCGAGCCGAACACGAGCUAGCUCGCGAACAACGAGCUAGAUUGCUACCCCCUAGUCACAAUCAACUCGUUUGACGUUGUGUUUGUACACUUUAAAGUGAAUUUGUUAUUUCUUUCUAAUAGCUCGAGUUUUUAGAAUUAUUGAUUAGCACUAAGUAGAACAGGUCACAUGUUCCAGUCCUGUAUACUACAAAUUCGUUCACGUGGUAGAGGGGGUGGGAGAUUGUUGGCUCAGAGAUACUAGCAUCCGCCUUGUGGUGGAGGCUGGGACUGACCGAGUCACAAUGGCCGGAAGCCUACAGGCUAUGUGGUGGAGGUUAGAGCAUGUCGAGUCACAAUUGAGAUCUGUUUGGUGUUGUGGCCGAACAAUUUUGUAAUAGAAAGACAUUGCCAUUUUCGUAUUUUUUUUUAGCAUUACACUUCUCUCUAUCUGUAUCUUACCUAUUUUCUCUUAUAUAUAUAUAUAUAUAUAGAGUACGUCUAGUAUGCUUCUGGAAGCAGGGAGUGCUCCGUGCUUCCAAGUUGUUUUCAAUGUUCGACUUUCGAAUCGACGAUCGGCUCCGUUAGACUUGAUCUAGAAAAUAAAUUUUGCUAUUUUUCGAUAUCAUUUGCUCCGUGCUACCGAUAGUAUAGUAGCCUAGUUCUAUAAAUAUAUAUAUAUAUAUAUAUAUAGAGUUGAGCUAGAAUACUAUCGAUAGCAAACCGGCACUUUUGCCACCCAUUUGUUUCGAUGACGGAGCCUCCAAAUCGACGAUCGGCACCGUUGAACAUGAUCUAUACCACUUGAAUUGUUUAGAAAUCAAAUUUUUAAUCUUUUCGACAUCAUUUGCCUAAUGAUCAAAGGGUUUCAAAAUUUGUAAUUUUAAUGGUCGAUAUGAGACUUUUCUCGUUUAACGGCGUAAAGAUAUCCAAAUCAAUUGAAUUUUUGUCAGAAAAUUCUUUAAACUAUUUAAAACAAGAUCUAUACUCUUGAUCUUGAUUACAAGACUCCUAUCAUCAUUUUUUUAAGAAAAUUCAUUUUCAGCCGUUCAUUUUUGUGUCCACUGCGCUACCUGUCUCUCAAAAAAAAAAAAAAAAAAAAUCACUCGAUAGAUAAGAGAACAAUAUCGAAAUGUAUGAAAUUUGAUUUCUAAAUACUUAAUGUAUAGAUCAUGUUCAACGGGCCGAUCGUCGAUUUGGAGGCUCCAUCAUCGAAAACAAAUGGGUGGCAAAAGUGUCGGUUUGCUAUCGAUAGUAUUCUAGCUCAACUAUAUAUAUAUAUAUAUAUAUAGGGUCCGGCUAUUAUACUAUUAUGAGUACGAUCGCCCUCGUGCUCAUAAGUUGUUUUCGAUGAUAGAGCUUCCGAAUCGACGAUCCACACCGUUAAACGUUAUUUACAGCAUUUAGAACUUCUAGAAAUCAAAUUUAUAAUUUUUCGACAUCAUUUAUCUUACGAUCAAGAGGUCACAAAUUUGACAAUUUUUAACGGCCGGUAUGGGAUACUUACUAGUUUAACGGUGUAAAAGAAUCGGAAUUUGUUGAAUUUUUGAUAGAAAAUUCUAUUCACUAUUAUAUAGAUAAAGAUCAAUAACUCCGAUCUUGAAUUGAAGGAUCCGAUCAUCCUUUUUUAGGACGUCGUUCGAUUUUGUCCGUUCAUUUUAUGUCCACGUGAUGGACUUUAUUAUGAUUUCGAAAAUUUACGAAAUUUAUUUUCUAGAAGUUUCAAAUACUCCAGAUCAUAUUUAACGGAGUGGAUUGUUGAUUCGGAAGCUCCAUCAUUGAAAACAACUUAUGAGUACGAGGGCUCCAAUACUCAUAAUAGUAUAGUAGCCACAGCCUAUAUAUAUAUAUAUAGCUAGAAUACUAUCGGUAGCAAACGAGCUCCGUUGCCACCCAUUUGUUUUCGAUGAUGGAGCCUCCAAAUCGACGAUCGGUACCGUUGAAAAUGAUCUAUACCACUUGAAGUAUUUAUAAAUCAAAUUUCAUGCGUUUCCGAUAUUGUUAUCUUGUCCAUCAGGUGGGCGCAAAAAUGAACGGCUGAAAAUAAAUAUCCUCUAAAAAGUAAUAAUAGGAAUUUUGUAAUCAAGAUCGAGAGUAUAGAUCUUGUUCUAAAUAGUUUAAAGAAUUUUCUAACCAAAAUUCAAUUGAUUUGGAUAGCUUUACACCGUUAAACGAGAAAACACCUCAUAUCGACCAUUAAAAUUACAAAUUUUGAAAUCCUUUGAUCAUUCGAUCAAUGAUGUCGAAAAGAUUUGAAAUACUUCAAGCACUACAACAGAAUUAGGUUAUAGGGACACAUGUUUGGGACACUUUUGUGUGAGUGUCCCAUUUAUACCAAAACUUUUAAAAAAAUCUACUAAUGCCUAAAUAUAAAGUCUAAUCUAAUAAAAAAUAAAAGGUUACUCUAUUCAACCCACCCCACCCAACCCAUUCGGCCUGAUUACAAACAUAAAUGAAAAAGAAAAAAAAAAUCGAUUACCAUUUUCCCUUCUCCCCUCACUCAAUCGACUGAAAUCUUAGAUGAAGAUCCCUUCCUCUCGUCCUCCUCUGUCACCGUAGCGAACGAGGUAGAGUUCCGGCGGUUGCUAAAUGCUUAAAUAAAUAUUGGUAAAUUAGCAGCACUCUUUUUAGGUUAUAGCGACACUCUUUAAUUGUCACUAUAUACCUAGCGACCCCACAUAUAACAACACUUUUUAAAAGUGUCGGUAAUUUAGCCAGCAACACUUUUUUUAACCUGUACCGACAUUUAAAAGUGUCGCUAUAGACCAUUUUUGUUGUAGUGAAGUGGUAUAGAUCAUAUUUAACGGUGCCGAUCGUCGAUUUGGAGGCUCCAUCAUCGAAAACAAAUGGGUGGCAACGGAGCCCGUUUGCUACCGAUAGUAUUCUAGCUCAACUCUAUAUAUAUUAUUAUAUAUAUAUAUAUAAUAUAAUAUAUAUAUAUAUAUAUAUAUAUAUUAUAUAUAUAUAGUGGGCUGGUAUGCUUAUGGAAGCAGAAGCCCUCCGUGCUUCACAGUUGUUUCGAUGUUCGACUUUCGAAUUUGACGAUCGGCUCCGUUAGAGUUUGAUCUAGAGUAUUUGAAGUACUAGAAAAUAAAUUUUGUGAUUUUCGAUAUCAUUUGCCAAGUGAUCGAAGGGGCUCAAAAUCAAAUAAUUUUAAUGGUGUGGUGAGUCAGUUGCAAGUUUACGGUGUUAGAAAAUAUCUUAAUCACAUAAAAUUUUGAUAGAAAAUUUUUUUAUACGCAUAUAAAACAAAGAUCAAUAACUUUGAUCUAAAAUUUUAAUGUCAUAUCAUCAUAUUUUGUAAGAUUUUAUUUUCAGCCGUUGAUUUUUAGCCACUUCGAUCACUAGGCAAAUGAUAUUGAAAAAUCGCUAAAUUUAUUUUCUAAAUAUUCAAAUACUCUAAAUCAAGUCUAACGGAGCGAUCGUCGAUUCGAAAUUGCCGAACAUCGAAAACACAAGUGGAAGCGCGGAGCGCUGCUUUCAUAAGCAUCCCUUCAGCGCACUCUCUCUUCUCUCGUCUCUCUCUCUCUCUCUCUCUCUCUCUCUAUAUUUAUUAGAUAUAUAUAUAUAUAUCAUAUAGGUAAAUUACGAAAUCCCCUGUAAUAACCCGCUUUUUCACUUUUCCUCCCUGACAUUUAAAAACCUACACUUUGCCGCCAGUAAAUAAUAGAAAGUGUGCAGUCACCCUACGUUAGGGUCCGUUAAAAAUAUAUUUUAUGCGAAAUUACCCGCCAUCAUCCAUCUCGCUGUAUGCUAUCGCCUCCUCGGCUCGCCACCUAGCUGCGCCUAGCCCGCCUUCGCGUCUUCACUGCGCAUGGCCUACCCACAUCCCCUCCCGUUCCUCCGCGCUCGCUUCGCCUUCUUGCCCUUUUCUCACUGACGGCCACCUUCGGUUUUCUCCUACUGUGGCCGAAUCGAGGGCGGCGAGUGAGGAGGGAAUGGGACAGGUGGAGAAAGAAAAUGGAAGAAAUCGCGGCCGAUUGAGGUGGGAAUCGCAGAUUCGAAUGACAGGGCAGCUGAGGAAGAUGGGAAGAAAGACGACAAUGGCGAGGGGCCAAAUCAGUCCUUUUACACAUCGUAACCCCCCUGUAGAACUUUUUAUUUUACAAGGGGGGCAAUGUAGGUCUCUGUUAUUAAGUCAAGGGGGAAAGUUGAAACAACGGGUAUUACAGGGGGCGGUUUUCUUAUAAUUUAGCAUUAUAUAUAUAUAUAUUAUAUUAUAUAUAUAUAUAUAUAAUAUAAUAUAGAGGAGGAGAGAGAGAUGAGAGAAGAGAGGAGGAGAUAGACGGAACUUCCGUAGAGGAGAUAGAGAGCUUCGGAGGAGACGGACGACGACUUGAGAGGGAGGGGGGCCCUGUGGCUGCUAUCGGCCUAAUGAGAGAAGAUGAGAGGUGAGGCUACUUAUGCCCUAUCGAAGCACGCGAGUUCCUUCCGUGCUUCCAGCUCAGAUUUUCGUGUUAAGCGGCUAUCGACUCAUCGCAUCGCGCUCCGUUAAACUUUGAUCUUAGAGUAUUUACAGUACUAGAAAACAAAUUUUAUGAAUUUUACGAUAUCAUUUGCCUAGUGAACGAAGGGGCUCAAAAUCAACAGCUGAAAAUAAAAAAUCUAUUACAAAUGUAAUAAUUAUGACAUUUAAAAUUUUAAGAUCAACAAUAUUGAUCUUUGUUUUAUAUAGUAUAAGAAUUUUCUAUCAAAUUUCACGGUGAUUUGUAUUUCAUACACCCGGUUAAACUUGCAACACGGCUCACUUACAGCCAUUGAAAAUUGUGAUUCUUGAGCCAACAUUUCGAUCACUAGGCCAAAGAAUCGAAAAUAAUAAACAUUUAUUCUAGGUUCUAAACUACUCUAGAAUCAAGUUUAACGCGAGCAUGAUCCGACGAUUCGAAAGUGCAACAUCGAAAGCGAGCUGGAAGCACGGAGCGCAUCCGUGCCUUCCGAUAGAUAGUUAGCAAUCACUUUAUAUAUAAUAUAUAUAUAUAUAUAUAGUAGGUCUUGUGUGCUAUUAGGAGCACGGAGGCCUCCGUGCUCCUAAGCCGUUUUCGAUGGUGGAGCUUUCGAAUCGACAAUCGGCUCCGUUAGACUUGAUCUAGUAUAUUUGAAGUAUCUAGAAAAUAAAUUGUGUGACUUUUCGAUAUCAUUUACCUAACGAUCAAAAUGGUUCAAAAUCAAUGGCAGAAAAUAAAAAUUUCAUAAAAAGUAGUAAUAUAGCAUUAAAAUUUUCAAUCAAACAUAUUGAUCUUGCUGUAAAUAGUAUAAAAAAUUUUCUAUCAAAAUUUCAUCUGAUUUGAAUACUUCUACACCGUUAAACUUGCAAACGGUAUACAUCAACCAUUAAAAAUUGUUGAUUUUGAACCAUUUUUAUUACUAGGAAAAUGAUACUGAAAAAUUACAAAAAAUAUUUUCUAGAUAGUUCAAAUACGCUAGAUCAAGCUUAACGGAGCCGAUCAUCGAUUCGGAAGCUCUAUCAUCAAAAACGGCUUAGGAGCACGAAGGUCUCCGUGCUCCUAAUAGCACACAAGACCUACUAUAUAUAUAUAUAUAGAACUAGGCUGAAAUACUAUCAAUAGCACCAAGGGCUUGGUGCUAUUAGUUUUUUAGCCCUUUGAUUGAGAAAUGUGUGGUUAUGAUGAUGUGGAUCCCCUAGGGUUGAGUGGGUGGUUGGUUGAAUAGUAUAAUCUAACAGAUAAAAAUAAUCAAAGAGUUAAAUCUAACGGUAGAAAACUCGAUAGCACCAUAUCCUUGGUGCUAUGACAGUAUCCCAGUCGGACUAUAUAUAUAUAGAGCUAGGCUGAUAUACUAUCGGUAACACGGAGACCACUGUGCUACCAAGUUGUUUUCAAUUGUGCGGCUUCCAAAUCGACGAUUGACUCUGUUAGACUUGAGCUACACUAUUGGAAGUAUUUGGAAACUAAAUUUCAUAAUUUUUCGACAUUAUUUACCUAUCAAACGAGUAGUCUAAAAAUGAACGGCUGAAAAUAAAAAUCUCAUAAAAAUUGAUGAUAAAAGAGUUGAAUUUAAGAUAAAAAAUACUAAUCUUACUCUAAAUAGUGAAAAAAAUUUCUAUAAAAAUUUUAUCAAAUUUAGAUUAUUUUACACCGUUAAAUUUACAAAUGUAUCACUUCUACCAUUAAAAUUGUUAAAUUUAAGAUAUUUUGAUCACUGGCCAAAUGACGUCGAAAAAUUACAUCGUCUAAUUAGUGAAUUCGAAAUUUGAGAUAAAAUUAGAUCAAAUUUUGAGUUCUAAGGAAGGCGUAGCUAUCACAUCCUAAAAGAUCUGGGAUGUGACACAUGACACAUAUGAAUUGGAAGCUCACCUUUGAAAAGUCCAAUAUGGACCAUAUGGUGACAUAGAGCAUUUUAUGUGAAUAGUUAUUAUAAUCCACGACAAAAAUAAUUUAAUUCAUAAAUAAAAUAAAAAUAAUAAUUUAAAAAAAUAUCAUAUCAGCUAUGUAAAAAAUUGUAAAAGUUUGUACAUUGGCAAAAAGCAUCCUAGUUGAAGAAAUUACCAUCGCAAGUAUAAAUUAGGCAAUCUUAUGAGUUAGCAUUAAUUAUUUGCCAACAUUUUUGUUCUCAAAGCUCUUUUACAAAUUAAUCCAAAAUUUGCCAUUGCCCUUUUUUUUAUUUUUUAUUUUUUAAAACGGAGAGCAUUUUCUCUGUUGACAUACGACCUCAAUCAACCAUUAUUUUUCGUUGAUCCUUUGGCUUCGGAGAGCAUUGAUGGAAGUGACACGUGAGAUCAGUACAAGGUGUUAUUCUUAUUGCGUAUUUUGAGUAUCUCUCUCUCUAAAGUACCGUUUGGUUCAGAAAUAAAUCAAAAAUAGCUAUUUAAGGAAUAAAUAUAAAUUGAGAUAUAAAUCUUAGUUAGUAAAUUCACGAAUUUUUGCCGAAUUAUUAGCAAAUUUUUGAAAAGACGAAUUAAACGGGCGUUUUCAUAUUUUUCCAAAAAAUUCAGAAAAAAACGCAAUUUUUUGGACAAAAAUACUUAUUCGCGAAUUAUUCGGGAUUCGCGAAUUAUUCAUUCAUAAAAA
rnacentral:lncRNA from 1 species